UCGAGAAUCUUCGGCAAUGGGCGAAAGCCUGACCCAGCCAUGCCGCGUGCAGGAUGAAGGCGUUAUGCGUUGUAAACUGCUUUUUAUAUAGGAAGAAAUAGUCCUUGCGAGGAAAGUUGACGGUACUAUAUGAAUAAGCACCGGCUAACUCCGUGCCAGCAGCCGCGGUAAUACGGAGGGUGCAAGCGUUGUCCGGAUUUAUUGGGUUUAAAGGGUGCGUAGGCGGUUUAUUAAGUCAGUGGUGAAAGACGGUCGCUCAACGAUUGCAGUGCCAUUGAUACUGGUAGACUUGAGUAUGAUUGAGGUAGCUGGAAUGGAUAGUGUAGCGGUGAAAUGCAUAGAUAUUAUCCAGAACACCAAUUGCGUAGGCAAGUUACUAAGUCAUAACUGACGCUGAGGCACGAAAGUGUGGGUAUCAAACAGGAUUAGAUACCCCAGUAGUCCCUGAGCGGGCUGGCAAGGCGCAU
rnacentral:rRNA from 1 species